rnacentral:tRNA from 1 species
GACGUGGCCGAGUGGUUAAGGCGGCAGACUGCUAAUCUGUUACUGGUAACGGUGCGCGAGUUCGAAUCUCGUCGUCGU